rnacentral:rRNA from 1 species
UACGUAGGGUGCGAGCGUUGCCCGGAUUUAUUGGGCGUAAAGAGCGUGUAGGCGGCCAGGUAGGUCUGGUGUGAAAACUCGAGGCUUAACCUCGAGAUGUCAUCGGAAACCAUUUGGCUAGAGUCCGGAAGAGGAGAGUGGAAUUCCCGGUGUAGCGGUGAAAUGCGCAGAUAUCGGGAAGAACACCCGUGGCGAAGGCGGCUCUCUGGGACGGUACUGACGCUGAGACGCGAAGCGUGGGGAGCGAACAGG